UACGUAGGGGGCAAGCGUUGUCCGGAAUCAUUGGGCGUAAAGCGCGCGUAGGCGGCCCGGUAAGUCCGUUGUGAAAGUCAAAGGCUCAACCUUUGAACGCCGAUGGAUACUGCCGGGCUAGAGUCCGGAAGAGGCGAGUGGAAUUCCCGGUGUAGCGGUGAAAUGCGCAGAUAUCGGGAGGAACACCAAUGGCGAAGGCAGCUCGCUGGGACGGUACUGACGCUGAGACGCGAAAGCGUGGGGAGCAAACAGG
rnacentral:rRNA from 1 species